AGGCGCGUAGCUCAGUGGGAGAGCGCUACCUUGACGCGGUAGAGGUCGCCGGUUCAAUACCGACCGCGCCUACCA
rnacentral:tRNA from 5 species